UUAUGUUAUUACAAAUAAUGUGUGAGUUGAUUGCUAUUUUGAUGGUUAUUUGCUUUCAGUAGACAUUGAUGUCGGUGUUGCUUAUUGAGGGAUCUACUUUACAAAUAAAAACUGGCUUACUACUUGGCGAUCUGACUUCAGACAAAUUUAGUUUGAAGUCAGAGGAAGAGAGAAUUUUUAUUAAAGCUAUUUUGAACCUGAGAUAGCAGGAGUGUGCCGCGGUAGCUGAUUGACUCGCGCUGGAUUUAUAACACAAGACGAAAUGACAGAAACGGUAUGCAGCGUGAUAAUCGCUUUGCCUGGCUUAUCUUGUUUUUAAAAUUUAUUGAAUCCAAAACUCAAUUAAAAACUAUUAAUUUCUGUGCAAUUAAUAUCUAAUUCAUAGUACAUAUAAACUAUGACUGCUAUGUAGUGUUGGGCGAUAAGCCCUAUUUUGAGAUCGUCAGCCAGUGAGAUCGACGAUACAUGAUAGUGUCCAUGCAGUGCUAGGUGGUGUUCAUGGGGCGCCCAUUCAGGUCCGAGCAAGAGUCCCAAGUAGAGGUCUUCUCGGGUCCAAAGAAAUGUACCCGACCCGAAAUGACCCGAAUCACUUCAUACCCGAACCCGACGUGCAUAAAUAAAAAAUUUUUAAAGAAAGAGUCCGACCCGAACUAGUGAAAAGUUUUUUUUUUAACCCGACUGGAACCGAAUGUAAACGGCACUGACAUGUGUGCAUUCUGCAGACCCACGCGCAGCAGUCAGACAGAAAGAAACUCCGGUGGCCUUGCAACCAAUUUGGCGAGCUGCUCCAUUCGUUUUACUUUGUUAUCUGACGACGACACCAACGUAACCGCUAAAAUGUACAUUUAUAAUUGACUGACAUGUUUGUCUCAACGAAAAUGAACCUUCCGACAACCACACAAUGUCGCAAGUGCUCUUGGCAAACAGAUGAGAGGUUUGAAAAGGACAUUGACGCACACAGGCGAGAGAGUUCGGGUCUUCUUGGGUCCGUUCAGAAAAAACACAUUCAUUUUUAAAUUACCCGAGACCCGAUGCCGCUAUUAUUGUACCCGACCCGUGUCCGAGGCACAUGUGAAACUUUUAGACCCGAACCCGAUUGGGUCUCGGGUCGGACCUCGGGUUUUCGGAUCUAAGUGGACCCGUGAAGACCUCUAGUCCCAAGAUGCGCACAUUGAGUCCACAUGUGUGCGAGAAGAAAGCCGCAUGCUUUACAACCUCUCACGCGUAAAGCGGAGCCCAUAAAUCCUCUCAUGUGAGGAAAAGCAUGCAAUGCCCAUGUUGAUGUGAAAUUAUGAUAUUAUAUUUUUGACGGAGGUUGCAUUAGAGGCUGUUGCGUCUGAGCUCCCCAUAUGUUAAUAUAUUUAAAAGUUAUGUCCAGAUAGCAGAGAGAGCAAGGCAUUAUUUCCCCCAUUAACUUCUUAACACGCACCGGCCCGGCGGCGGUCCCUAGGGGGCGUUUUUACGUGUUUUUGUACUUUGUUUAACAUCAAAUAUUCAAUCAACAAUCAUAAACUUUGCAUUAUUUGAAAGUUUAAACACUCAAAAUUCAUGUUCUGAGCUUAUUUUUGCAAUCAAUACACUGGUGUGGAUAAGAUUAAAUAAAAUGCAGACGGAAUGCAUAUAAAAAAAUUUGUGGGUACUCACAUGUCUUGCCAUAUGGUUCUGAUCAUCUCUGACAAUUCCCAAAAACUUCAACGUACAUUGCAACGUAAGGGUCCACUCUUCAAAAAGCAUCCCACGUUUUAAUCCAAAACAACGAAAAAUAGUGAUAAAUCCAGCAAUACCCUCCUUUAAUUACAUCCGCGCGUCCGCUAAGUAUGAUCGAUCAUGUUUAUUUUCUAUCAAAUAUCGAGUUUUAUCAGUGAAAAUCCAUCUCUUCCUGCUUCGUUGGACUCUUCCGAUAAAUAUCCCGCCCUAUUUUUCUGUUUUGUUCAAUCAGAUAAGGUUUGACAACUCAAAAUGAAUCGGGAACACCGAUUUGCCCAGACAGAUGUCCUUCAACUAACCAUAGGCUUUUGACUGGAUUACGCCAAAACAAAGCCAGCCAAUGCUUAGCCAGCAAAGUUUUGAUGGGCAGGGGUAGUAACCAAUCAUGAAACGAUUACAAGGAUUCAAAUUACGUCAGUAAAGUGUACUUCUGCGCAAAUCUACAGAAGCGCAUGGAGAGGAAUGCCCACGCCCCCUCCCUGCGCGUUUCUUUGUUUGGGUAGCAUAGCAGCCGGCUAGGCUCUCCGGAGCCGCUGAGAAACCUCUCAAAGGUUAGAUAUAACAUCUCCAUUGUGGAUUGUCGACUGCAGAGGACUUGUUUGUGUUGAGAGUGUUUUGGAGAAGUUGAUAAAGAGCAUGAUCGCGGAGCAAAGAUACAAGAUUGGAUAUAAACGAAACCGCGUCGUCGACGAGAGAUGGACCGGACUAUGAGCUCAGCUGCGCUCGCUUGGAUAAAGUCUUCAGCUGACAUCCAGAGGAGGACUGGAAUCUGGAGUGCAUUCAUGAGCGACCACAUUCAAAAUAGCAAGUAUUUUGUUAUAAUGUGCAAAUGUUUUUUCUGAAAUAGUUUUUUCUAUGUGCUUUGGUGGGCAGAGAAGUUCUGAAUUGAUAUACAUCAUGUAAUAUGUAGUCCUGACUCAUUUUCUUUUGAUAAUCAUGUCAUUUUGUUAUCAUGUGUAUAUUUGGAGUUUCCAAGUGCACUUUUUCUGAAAGGACGCCUGGACUUUUUUGAAAUAAAAGCUCACAGAAACAACA